GACCUCUCAGCGUUUUGUAAAGCAAAAUGGCGGCGGGAGGCUGCGGUGGGGUUUGGCGCCGAGCGUUGCAGCGCGGCCGCGGGGGGUCUUGCUCUGUUUCCCGCCCUUGGCGGGCCGUCGCGUGCAAGGCCGGAGGUGGGGCGGUGCCGUUGGGGCUGAGCGGUGUUGCUCCAUGGGCACCGGUUGUGGGUCUGGAAAUUCAUGCACAGAUCACUUCCAACUCAAAACUUUUCUCUGGCUCCCAAGUCCAGUUUGCAGCACCUCCUAAUUCUUUGGUAUCAUUCUUUGAUGCUUCUUUACCAGGAACUUUGCCAGUUCUCAACAGGAGAUGUGUAGAAGCAGCCGUCAUGACAGGCCUGGCACUCAACUGCACCAUAAACAAGAAAUCCUUGUUUGACAGAAAACACUAUUUCUAUGCAGAUCUGCCUGCUGGCUAUCAAAUCACUCAGCAAAGAGUUCCUCUUGCGGUGAAUGGGAGUCUGUCAUACAGUCUCUGCAAGGAUAACAAGAUGAGCCAGAUGGUGACCAAAACUGUGAGGAUUAAACAAAUUCAGUUGGAGCAAGACAGUGGGAAAAGUCUCCAUGAUGAUGCAAGGAGCCAGACUCUCAUUGACUUGAACAGGGCUGGAGUUGGCCUCAUGGAGGUUGUCAUGGAGCCUGAUAUGUGCUGUGGGGAAGAAGCAGCUGCAGCAGUCAGAGAGCUUCAGCUUAUUCUUCAGACACUUGGGAGCAGCCAGGCAAUCAUGGCAGAGGGUCAGCUGAGAGUGGAUGCCAAUAUUUCUGUGCAUCACCCUGGAGAGCCUUACGGAGUAAGAACCGAAGUGAAGAAUAUCAAUAGCUUAAGAUUCCUGGCAAAAGCAAUAGACUAUGAAAUACAGAGGCAAAUUAAAGAACUUGAAAAUGGAGGAACAGUUCUGAAUGAAACAAGAGCAUUUGAUUCUAAGCUUGGGUGCACUGUACCAAUGAGAGACAAAGAGGGGAAGCAAGAUUAUCGGUUUAUGCCGGAGCCAAAUCUUCCCCCAUUGAUUCUAUACGAUGCUAAGUCUUUGCCAGCUAAUGUGAACCAUCAGCAAGUGGUAAAUAUCGAUUGGAUUCAUGAGAGACUUCCUGACCUUCCCAGUGUGAAGAGAGCAAAGCUUGUUGAACUGUAUGGGAUUCUUCCUGAACACAGCUUCACCUUAGUGAAUGAAGAUGGAUUAAUGGACUUCUUUGAAGAUGUGGUGAAACAGACCCAGAUGAAGCCAAAGAAAGUGAUCGGCUGGAUUCUGAGUGACCUACUCAGUCAUUUAAAACAACAUUCCCUUACAGCAAAGGAAAGCCCCAUCAGUUCUUUUCUCCUUGCUGACCUUCUGAACCUUCUAGAAAAUGGAGACAUUUCUUCUUCAGCAGCAAAGCAGGUGUUUGAGGAAUUGUGGAAGGGAGAAGGGAAGACUCCUCUUGAAAUCGUUAAAGAAAAGCAGCUUGAACUGAUACAAGAUCAAGAAGAACUUGAACAGAUCUGCCAGGCGGUGAUUGAUGAACGAGAAAAGGAGGUUAUGGCGAUAAAAGGAGGAAAUGAAAAAGUUAUCAAUAAGUUAAUUGGACUGGUUCGGAAAGCUACACGAGGCCGAGCCAACCCUCUUCUGGUGAAGCAAAUACUAGAGAAGAAGCUGUCAGAGUAGCCACAAGAGAAACUGGCCCAGCUGUCUACAGAAGACGUGCUUCGUUCUGUCUGGUUUGCUGCUAAUGAACUUUGGUGCCUCCUUGUCUGUCAGGAUUUUUUUCCCAGACUGGUUAUGCUUCAAGGAGCAUCAUGUUUUUGCCUUUCCCAGCUGCAUCGGCCAAAGGUGGAUGAGCAAAGGACCACCUCAGCAGAAGCUGGCAGUCAUCUUACAUCUCCUUCAUUUCAGUGCAGCAUUCUGAAGUGUCAUUUCCAUAUAGCCAUAGGGAGCACGUUCCCAGGAAAAUCUGCAGAAGUGAUCAUCCUUCACUGCACAGCAAAUGGGCUCAGGGAACUGAUUCAGGACAAAACUAUCAAGGAAAUGCAGGCAAAGUAUUUCAUUCUUUUUGGCUGAACAAAAAGAGGGAAUUUGUGACCUUCCACAACGAACACUCACACAGACCCCACAAGAACAGCAUUCCAGAUGCGUUUCUCCUUGACACGGAAGUUUAGUUCUGAAGCACGAUACUGACUUUGGACAAACUACACUACUUGCAACUAAAGCAGCAAGCUCACAAUCACUCCACGUCUUCAGGUGAGAAAUUCUUUAGUUUGUCUGACCUACUGAAGUAACAAGCGACAGAUGACUUUUGUUAUGAAGUAGCAAAUGGCUCUAUGUGAAAUUACAUUUCUAAAGCACUGAGGAACAUGGCUUCCUCUAUUUAGAGAAAAAGCAUUUGAAAAUUUUCCUAGAAAAAUAUGGUAUAAUUACAACUACUGUUUGAAAUUAUUAGCAGAACUCUUCAUGUUUUAUAAAAAGGCAUACUAAAUAAUACACAAAUAAGGCUACAUGGAGUUUUAACAGAAGAUGACAGUUAUCAAUGAAAAUCAUUAUAAAGGGAAAGAAAUGAAUGAGUUCACAUCCCAGGAGUGUAAGGAUGGGUUUUGUUUUUUUUUUGUUUUACUUUAGACAGCAUUCUUUCCAAUUUCUAGAUUUUAGAUUUUUUUUUUAGAAUUGUCACAGCAGUCCUACAGUCCUACUUUUAUACAAGCCUUUCCAAUAGCUCCUUUUUCACCACUGGGUCACAAGUCUUUCUGCUUUAUGAACAAUCUCCUCAACUAGGAUCUUUGUCUUGGUUCAUGGAAGACAUUGUGUGACUGACUGUGAUUUGUCUCAGACACAUUACAUAAACAAAAUGCUGUGUUGUUAAUAUGUCAUCAAUUGCUACCCAGCCAUCUUAUUUACACAUUUAUAUCAAUUUCUUGCCUUUAAUAUUUCUUUUUCCUCCUACACCUGUAGUUCUAUACCUGUAUAGCCUGAACUUCUCAAGUUCAUUGCAGCCACGCUUCUUUCUGCUUUAAUAUCUACUUUUCCAAGUUGUGGUGUAUUUACAAAGACAGUGUGUUAUGGAGAAGCUGUGAGAUGCUAUCCUGCUCAAAAUUCUACGUAAACGCUGUUUUCCUAUCAUAAUAACAAACACAUAACACCUUAUAUCACAGACUUCGGAAACCUGUAGGUCAAAACAUCAUGAAACAAUUUGACCAAAGAUACAGAAAAAACCUGUGAGAACUUUGCCUAACAGUUUGUCUGCCCAUUCCAUGUUAAAAACAUUUUUUAGUGAAGUGUCCUCACCUCACUUCACCUCUGAGGCAUGUUUACACUACACAGUAAGGGGCAGUAUAGAAAAAUCAGUGUAUUAGCAACCAAUUAGCCAAGGAAUCUGAGACAUCCUCACUACAGUGAUACUCAAAUGCAAUCCAUAACAGCGAAGGACCGUGCUACCUGUUUUGUGGUGCAGAUGUGGGCUCACCUACUAUGAUUUCAGCGAUACACAGCAACGUCACUGCUGUUCACCAGAACAAACCAGUACUGGAGCCCAUCACACUCAAACACAAAAAAGAUUUUGCGCCAGCACGCUAAUUCUACAGCACUGCAUUGAAAUUUUAUUACAGACUUAGGCCAGCCUCAUUACAGUUCAGACAAGUCCGAUUUUAGCACAUUUUGACAAGAGGCCAUCUUAAUUAGAAUGAUUGUCAAUCCUGGCUCCCUGCUGUUUGAAGGUUAAUAUAGCUGGCUUUUAUCUUCAGUGUAAAAAGGAUUUUUCCUUUUUAAUUAAUUGGAAGAUGUAAUUAUGAAAGUUAUAGCGUGGAUCCAAUAAUUGUAUCUCAGGAUUGUCUCAGGGACAAUCUAACUACCAAGUUCAUAUUUUUAGCAGUAUCCAUUAAAUAGGGUCAAAUGGAGUCUCUCAGCACAAGACGCCUGAUGCAAUAUUUACAACUGACAAAGGAAGCCAUUUACAAGUUUCAUUUUGGAACUUACAGGCUUCCUGCAGACUGUAAGCCUGCACAACUCUCAAGGAAGAUAGUAAUGUGAGAGUAAAUAGGGACCUGUGGCUGGAAUAACUGCUGUACAAAUGUUGAGGUGGAAGGGCAGGCCAAAAACUAAUGCAGAAGAGCAUCUUAGCUUCAGAAUGAUACUUGGUUUUGAAUCAUUGCAGAUCUGAAAGCAAUUUUUGUGAGCAGGCAUGAAGAAGCAAUAGUGCAAUGCUGUUAGAAAAUGUAUUUGUUUAAUCACUAAGAUAUUCUGUUCACGAAGUACAACUGAUUUGCCAGAUCUAAUAAUGCAACAUUACUACCAAGUUUUGUAAUAGACUACAUAGCAUGAUGGUGUUAUGGCCAAGACAGCCAUUGGAACCUCAUGAUCCUUGACAAAGAGCAAGUCUCCCAUUUACAGGACUGUUCAACUGGCGUUACAGUAUGGUAUACAGAACUGGUGUAAACAAGUUUCACCAACAGAAUCAGUAACCUGAGAAAACAGGGUUCACUUCUACUCCCUUCACUCCCAAAAAUUUUACAGGGUUCUUAGGGUGAGCUAGAUCAGAUUCCUUCUCUGAAGAGUUCUGCUCUACUCCUAUUAGUUUUCCAAUGAUACUCACUGUUAGACUGCAAAUAAAUAAAUAAAUAAAUAAAUAAAUAAAUGGGCCUAUUUGCAUGGACCCAAAGGAAAGGAACUGCAUUGGUAUGGAAACAAGCAGCAGGACUGCAUCUGGAGUCAGGCCUGGCUUAAACAGCACUAUGUUUGUGAAACAGUUGUUAGCAGAAAUAGAAGAAGUAAUACGUUACAACACAUCUUUAUCAGAAAAGACAGAACAGGACAAGAAGAAUAAAGAUGAUUAGUUUAACACUGAAGAUCA